UGGAAGCAUACUGCAUUGACGUGUAACUUAGUGCCAGGCACUGGGCUUAGAUGCAUUUAAUCAGCACAUUUUUUAAUGAGCUGUCCUCUUUUGCAGGAAUUUUUUUCCUGUUUACGAUUCUACACCCUUAGGCAUAGUUAUUCCCGAAGCAUAUGAAUACAUAUUUUGUUAAAUGCCUCCUGAUGAGUUCAGAGGCAGAAGCUAUCAACUACACAGACACCUGGCUCAGAUCCAGAACAUGCAAUUAACAAAAAUAAGGGUCCUCUUUCUUGAUAAGUAAAAAAUCUGCAGGAAAUGUCUACAUUUUCACUCAAAAAUAACACUGAACUUAUUUUUCUCUUGUGCUACUCACAGAAAAGCAUUUUCUCCCAUAGCAUAAGCAUAUUUUCAAGUGAUAUUCAUGUUUCCCAUUUCAAAUGUUCAAAUCCUUACAAUAAAAUGCCCACAAACAUAAUCCUUUCUAUUAUAAAAGUUUUUUUUCCUUUCCUUUAAGUCUCUCUACUGUAUAAUUAUAGUAAAGUGGAAUCUAUAAUCACAUAACACUAUUACUAUUACAUAAUGGAAGAACUUAUGGGAAUUUUUCUUUAAGAUCAUGAAAGAAUGUCAAAGCAAGUCUCUAAUUUAUAUAAUUCUGCUCAAUUGAGUUUACAGUAACCUAGAGGGAUCCCAUAAAAUACACACUACACAUUGCCCCCUCAUUCCAUCUCAACCAUAUAAUGUCAAAGCCAUUAGCAAAGGGAACAAAGUUGCUUAAAAACAUUUUAAUGUCUUUUAUUUUAGAGUACAGAAGAUACAAUAAAAUGCCACUUAAUCAUAAAAAGACCAUUUGAAUUUUUAAAUAUGCAGUUCACAAUUGAAAGAAGUACAAUGUGCUGAAGUAGUUUGUAUUCAGAUAUUUUAAUUUCUAGUCUAUAGUAAUAAUAGUUUUCUUUGAUCAGUGUCCCCAAACUCCCCAUGAACUGUCAAUGAAGAGCUUCAUAAUUUUCUUCUGGCUGAAGAAGAUCAAAGCAUUCUUAUGUUUGCUAGAACUCUUUGAUACUGCUGUACAGACAGGUAGUGAGUUUAUUUCAUUACUACUAAACUAUUUCUUUCUGUCUUGAGUUUAUGAAGAGGUGGUUUAUUUUAACAAGGUGCUUACAGACCGGUUUGCUCUUCCCCAAUUUUAAAUCUUCUUUCCAAGGGUUCCUGUAGUGAUUUGCGCUGCACCCUGGAACUGAAAGUGAGAGCU